rnacentral:rRNA from 1 species
GACUACUAUUAUCAGGAUUCGACUAAGCCAUGCGAGUCAUUGCGCAAGCAAGGCGAACUGCUCAGUAACACGUAGUUAACCUGACCUUAGCUAGGGCAUACCCGUGGGAAACUGCGGAUAAUUCCCUAUAGGCGAUAAUGGCUGGAAUGCCUCUUCGCCCAAAGAUUCGUCGGCUAAGGAUGGGACUGCGGGAGAUUAGCCUGUUGUUAGGAUAAAUGCCUAACAAAGCUAUAAUCUCUACGGGUCGUGAGAGCGAUAGCCCGGAGAUGGCUUCUGAGACAUGAAGCCAGGCCCUACGGGGCGCAGCAGGCGCGAAACCUUUCCAAUGCACGCAAGUGUGAGAAGGGAAUCCUGAGUGGGUCCGCAUUAGCGGGCUCUUUUGCCGAGUCUAAAUGCAGUAAUAUGAAAAGAUGUCAUAUUACUUUUAGAAAGCUCGGCGAAUAAGUGGUGGGUAAGACGGUUGCCAGCCGCCGCGGUAAUAACCGCGCCACAAGUGGUAGUCACGUUUAUUGGGCCUAAAGCGUCCGUAGCCGGCUUGAUGUGUCUUUGGUGAAAUCUUAUAGCAAACUAUAAGGCUUGCUGAAGAUACUAUCAGGCUUGGAGCCGGGAGAGGUUGAGGGUACUUCAUGGGUAGGGGUAAAAUCCUUUAAUCCAUGACGGACCACCUGUGGCGAAAGCGCUCAACCAGAACGGGCUCGACGGUGAGGGACGAAAGCUUGGGGAGCGACCGGGAUUAGAUACCCCGUUAGUCCAAGCCGUUAACGAUGCCCACUUGGUGUUACAGAUUCUUCGGGAAUCUGUAGUGCCGUAGCGUAGGCGUUAAGUGGGCCGCCUGGGGAGUACGUCCGCAAGGAUGAAACUUAAGGGAAUUGGCGGGGGAGCACUACCAGGGGUGGAUGCUGCGGUUUAAUUGGAUUCAACGCCAGAAAUCUUACCAGGGAAGACAGCAGAAUGAUGGUCACUCUGAAGGGGUUACCUGACAAGCUGAGAAGUGCUGCAUGGCCGUCGUCAGUUCGUGCCGUGAGGUGUCCUGUUAAGUCAGGAAACGAACGAGAUCUACGUCGUUAGUUGCUACUGGUUUCUACGGAAGCCAGGCACUCUAGCGAGACUGCCCGCGCUAAGUGGGAGGAAGGAGUAGGCUACGGCAGGUCUGUAUGGCCUGAAUUUCCAUGGGUUACACGCGGCAUACAAUGCGUAGGACAAUGGGAUGCAACUCUGAGAAGAGAAGCCAAUCUCCUAAACCUACGCCUAGUUCGGAUCGAGGGCUGCAACUCGCCCUCGUGAAGCCGGAAUCCCUAGUAAGCGAAGGUCAAUCUUUCGCUGAAUACGUCCCUGCUCCUUGCACACACCGCCCGUCAAGCCAUCCGAGUGAGGUCUUGGUGAAUCUCGCGCUGAGCGAUUUGAAUCAAGGCUUUGCAAGGAGGGCU